UGACAAGGCACAACACAUGGCUGACCAGCAUAAGACUACAUUUCUCAGCCUCUAUAUAGCUAUAUAUGGCCAUGGUCCAAGUUCCCACCAGUGAGAUGGAUUAGAAUGAGUAUGAGGUGUAAACCAGGGCUGACCAUCAGGAUCAGAGCAGCAUUCUGGGGAAGAGGUGAGCGCAGGACGACUACACCCCAGGUGAUACCUUGAUGGCCGUCUGUGAGGGUCCCUGAGGUGCUGGAGCAAGCUGAGCCAUGCCCAGAUUCCUGACCCACAGGACCUCUGAGACAAUAAGACAUGGAUUGUCUCAA